CCCCAAAUCUACCAAACCUUAUCUGCUCUUCUUUCCCUAAAUCGACCAGUCCUCUGUUCUCCUCCUUUCCCCAAGUCAACCAGGUCUUUCACUCGCUUCUCACUACUGCCAACCAUUGGCCGCCUGCCUUGCCAACUCUCGCCGCCCCUCCAGGCCGCCACAACGGGUGCGGGGUGUCUGCUAGUUUCUGCUGCUUCUUCUCCUUCUCUCACUACCUUCUCCGCUCGUGCUGCCUGCUGCCGUGCUGAAGACCACUGCUGCCGCCGCCGACUGAUAAACUAAUCGGUGAACUGCUGUUGAAGGGCCGAAUGAGCAAGACUGCUGCAAGAGGAAGGUAACAGUGGUUAAACAACAAACCAUGGUCCAGGAGAGCAUAUCUGUAGUUAUUGGUCAUAUGUAGGCAUCUUUUGGUCGGUCCAGUGUGUUCUAUAGUUGUGGCUAUGGACAACUUUUGGCCAGUCCGGUGUAUUCUACAGUUGAGGCAGUGGAGCACUUUUGGCCAGUCUGGUGUAUUCUACAGUUGUGGCAAUGGAGUAGUCAUUGUCCAUAAUACCAGGUUUUCAAGCAAGGGCUGAGAUAGAUAUACAAAUCAGAAGAAUUGUCCCUUUUGAAUUACUUUACAUGUUCACUGCCAGUUUCAAAUGACAAAAGGAGCAAGCAAAUGUAAAAGAAAAGGUACACGCUUGAACAGAUCUGUAAAGCUUAAUACUUGUAUCAUUCGCUUAUUCACACAACUAUUUGAUCUAGGAUGCUUUGUUGGAAAAAAACCAUGAUACACAAGAUCAUUUGAUUUGGUUGCCUAAAAAGGGCACUGGCUUUGUAAUAAGCAUUACUGCAUUUGUAUACAAAUAGAAACAUCAUGAUACAUAAAGAUAGGCCAGGGACAUAUGUGUUACCUUGCAAAGCA